rnacentral:lncRNA from 1 species
GGAUCCCAAAUAUCAGAAUGAACAAUAUCAAAAGGAGAUUCUGCUUGAUUAUUUAUCUUGCUUAGAAAAGACGUCCGAACAUGUUUUUCAAGCCGACACGACUCACACUCUAAAGACUGCAAAUGAGAGAUGAGGGAUCAUCUUUCUUAGCUUAUUUAGAUUCGAAGGAUCCAAACGAUGAUGAAGGAGAUUAGGAGAUUCUGUGACAGCACAUAUGGUAGAGGAUAGAGGCGGGAGAUAAUAGAGUCCUUGUGAUUCAGAUCCUACACCAAUCGUCUGUCCCAUACUCCGGUCCCAUACUCCGGUCUUGUAUAAGAAAAGAAUCAGCAGUAAAGGUUAUAGAGUAGUCAAGAGUGCUCGUCUGUCCCAUACUCCGGUCUCAUACUCCGGUCUUGUAUAAGAAAAGAAUCAGCAGUAAAGGUUAUAGAGUAGUCAAGAGUGCGAGUAAGUUGACUAAUAGAAAUUAAAUUAAAGGGGCAACUUGGUGUAAAAAGAACAGAAUUUAAGGAUAAAGAAGGGAGAGGUGUAGCUUGACCAAUGCCAGUGACUUUAGCUUUAGAGCCAUUGGCGAGGGUGAUGUAAUGUGGUAUCUUGGG